GCCCCGAUAGCUCAAUUGGCAGAGCAGCUGACUCUUAAUCAGCGGGUUGUAGGUUCAAGUCCUACUCGGGGCAC
rnacentral:tRNA from 1 species